GAUGAACGCUGGCGGCGUGCCUAAUACAUGCAAGUCGAGCGAACGGACGAGAAGCUUGCUUCUCUGAUGUUAGCGGCGGACGGGAGAGUAACACGUGGAUAACCUACCUAUAAGACUGGGAUAACUUCGGGAAACCGGAGCUAAUACCGGAUAAUAUUUUGAACCGCAUGGUUCAAAAGUGAAAGACGGUCUUGCUGUCACUUAUAGAUGGAUCCGCGCUGCAUUAGCUAGUUGGUAAGGUAACGGCUUACCAAGGCAACGAUGCAUAGCCGACCUGAGAGGGUGAUCGGCCACACUGGAUCUGAGACACGGUCCAGACUCCUACGGGAGGCAGCAGUAGGGAAUCUUCCGCAAUGGGCGAAAGCCUGACGGAGCAACGCCGCGUGAGUGAUGAAGGUCUUCGGAUCGUAAAACUCUGUUAUUAGGGAAGAACAUAUGUGUAAGUAACUGUGCACAUCUUGACGGUACCUAAUCAGAAAGCCACGGCUAACUACGUG
rnacentral:rRNA from 1 species